UACGGGGGGGGGCAAGCGUUGUUCGGAAUUACUGGGCGUAAAGGGCUCGUAGGUGGCCAACUAAGUCAGACGUGAAAUCCCUCGGCUUAACCGGGGAACUGCGUCUGAUACUGGAUGGCUUGAGUUCGGGAGAGGGAUGCGGAAUUCCAGGUGUAGCGGUGAAAUGCGUAGAUAUCUGGAGGAACACCGGUGGCGAAGGCGGCAUCCUGGACCGGCAUUGACGCUGAGGCGCGAAAGCUAGGGGAGCAAACAGG
rnacentral:rRNA from 1 species